rnacentral:misc_RNA from 1 species
AAACAAAAUUAUUUAGACAAAAAUGGCUGAUACCACAGCUGAACCAGCAGCUCCAGAAGCAGCAGCAGCUCCAUCAGGGCCCCCAAACAGAGGAGGUAUGGGUGGAGGUAGAGGGAUGGGUAUGGGUAGAGGAAGAGGUGGUCCCGGUGGACCAGGUAGAGGUGGACCAGGAGGUCCAGGAGGUCCAGGUGGCCGAGGAGGAUUCAGGGGACGAGGUGGACCUGGAGGACCAGGAGGACGUGGUGGUCCAAUGAUGAGAGGACGUGGAGGUCCAAGGGGAGCUCCAAGAGGACGAUUCCCAGGAGGUGGCCCAGGAGAAGGUGGUAUGGGAGGUAGAGGAGGUGGCCGCGGAAUGGGAGGAAGAGGUGGUCCAGGUGGUUUUAGGGGACGUGGAGGCCCAGGAGGUGGCAGGGGAGGACCUGGUGGUCCAGGAGGUCGUGGAAUGGGUAGAGGAGGUCCAGGUGGUUUCAGAGGACGUGGAGGCCCAGGAGGUGGCAGGGGAGGACCAGGUGGUCCAGGCGGACCAGGUGGACCAGGACAAAAAAGAGCACCAGGACAGUUUGGUGGUCAAGGAGGACCACCAGGUGGAAUUAAGAGACCUAGGUUUGAAAAUGGACAGGGAGCUAACGGAUUCCAAGGUGGUCAGCAAUCAUACUCAAAUCAGUAUGGUGGUGGUGGUGGUCAGUAUGGAGGAUACAAUCAGUAUGGAGGAGGACAAGGUGGUUAUGAAAGUGGUGGUUACUCGACACAAUAUUCCAAUCCAUCUUCCAACUAUGGUAGUGGGGGUGGUGAUUAUUCUGGAUACUCACAACAAGGAGCUGAUCAAUAUGGUGGUGGUGGUUACAAUACAGGUGCACAGGGUGGUUACAAUAGUCAAGGUUAUGAUGAUAUGAGUGGAGGAUAUGCACAGCAAGGUGGUUAUGGGAGAAAUGAUUCAUACAACUACCAAUGACAAACCCAAGUACAAUGAAAACACAUUUUGGCUAUGUAGGAAACUAAAUACUAACUUUCAGCAUCUUUUACUUGUGUUCAGCCCCGCCAAGGCGAUACUAAAAUUCUUCCAAAGUACCAUUAGUAUUAUUUAUAAAAAAGCUCCCAAAAUGUGUUUAGUGUAUAUGGACAAUUCUUUUUAUAUUAGGAGUAAUUUAAUUUAAUUACAUACAUAUUUUAUUGUGUUGUUGAAAGAAUGACUAGUGUAGCGGCUUCAAUCUGAACAAGAACUUGAAUAAUAAGUGUCUUGAAAUACAAUUUAAAACUAGGAUAAUAAAUAAUUUGUAUAAAACAUAUUGGUGUUUUUUAAUCGAUGGAACAAAAUAUUGUAGAGUGCCCACAUCAAAGAAAAAUGUGACCAAACUGAUGAAAAUAAAGAAUGAUUUUAAAUCCCAAA